rnacentral:rRNA from 1 species
GCGCCCACUUUUGUGGGAGCGGCAGACGGGUGAGUAACGCGUGGGAAUCUACCCAACUCUACGGAACAACUCAGGGAAACUUGAGCUAAUACCGUAUACGCCCCCUUAUAGAGAUAUUUGGGGGGAAAGAUUUAUCGGAGUUGGAUGAGCCCGCGUUUGAUUAGCUAGUUGGUGGGGUAAUGGCCUACCAAGGCGACGAUCAAUAGCUGGUCUGAGAGGAUGAUCAGCCACACUGGGACUGAGACACGGCCCAGACUCCUACGGGAGGCAGCAGUGGGGAAUAUUGGACAAUGGGCGCAAGCCUGAUCCAGCCAUGCCGCGUGAGUGAAGAAGGCCCUAGGGUUGUAAAGCUCUUUCAACGGUGAAGAUAAUGACGGUAACCGUAGAAGAAGCCCCGGCUAACUUCGUGCCAGCAGCCGCGGUAAUACGAAGGGGGCUAGCGUUGUUCGGAUUUACUGGGCGUAAAGCGCACGUAGGCGGAUCGUUAAGUGAGGGGUGAAAUCCCCAGGGCUCACCCCUGGAACUGCCCCUCAUACUGGCGAUCUUGAGUCCGAGAGAGGUGAGUGGAAUUCCGAGUGUAGAGGUGAAAUCCGUAGAUAUUCCGAGGAACACCAGUGGCGAAGCGG